rnacentral:rRNA from 1 species
GACGAACGCUGGCGGCGUGCUUAACACAUGCAAGUCGAACGGAAAGGCCCUGCUGUUGUGGGGUGCUCGAGUGGCGAACGGGUGAGUAACACGUGAGUAACCUGCCCUUGACUUUGGGAUAACUUCAGGAAACUGGGGCUAAUACCGGAUAGGAGCUCCUGCUGCAUGGUGGGGGUUGGAAAGUUUCGGCGGUUGGGGAUGGACUCGCGGCUUAUCAGCUUGUUGGUGGGGUAGUGGCUUACCAAGGCUUUGACGGGUAGCCGGCCUGAGAGGGUGACCGGCCACAUUGGGACUGAGAUACGGCCAAGACUCAUACGGGAGGCAGCAGUGGGGAAUAUUGCACAAUGGGCGGAAGCCUUAUGCAGCAACGCCGCGUGCGGGAUGACGGCCUUCGGGUUGUAAACCGCUUUCGCCUGUGACGAAGCGUGAGUGACGGUAAUGGGUAAAGAAGCACCGGCUAACUACGUG